ensembl:lncRNA
UAUUUUUCAGAAGGGUAGCUUACCCUGUGUCCAUAAAAUAAAAUACUGCAUAAUACUGCAUAUUGCAUUUGAACCCAGAUUUUCCUGAUUCGACAUUCAGCAUUUUAUUGUUCCUUCCCUUCUUUGACUACCUACUCAUAUAGUUAAGUGUACAAUGAGAAAAAUGGAGUCUCAGCAAUUGUAAGAAUCUUAAUGGUUUCCUCUUCAAUUCUCACCCCAACUAUGAAUUCUUGGUAGAACACCCCUAACUGGUGAUCAUCACCAUCACUUUGAUGGAAGACCUUUAAGGGCAGGGAACUCAUAAUUUUACAAAGCAGCCCAGUUCAUUUUAAAUUGAUUUAGUUUUAGGUAGUUUUCCUUAUCUUGGAACUUGUCAGUUGGUCAAUAAAUGUUUAUUAGGCACUUACUAUGUUCCAAAUCCUGUGCUAAGGGCUGGAGAAAUAAUUUUAAGGGGUUAAACUCUUAUCAUAGAGGCACAGUACUGCAGGUGUUUUCCUACCAGGUAGGUGGGAGUAGAUUACUUUGAUUGGUUUCAUACCUCAAACUUACUGCUUAAGACAAACUACGGUGGGAUAGUCUCACUUUCUUUUAUGCUCUUUUUUGUUAAGUCCACAGAAAAGAUGACAGGUUACCCACAGCCUGGGACCAUGAGUUGACCCUCAAAGGGGAAUAUCUUUCCUCCUUUUUUUUUUUUGCUCCAACUGAGAAAGAGAUCUAAGGAUGAUUGUUUCUGUUCUGUUCCAUUUCUGUUCCAUUUGUCCUCCUCAAUUUCAAGUGCAGGCAACAAUUCUCCCUGAAUCUAUGACUUUCAGUCAGAUGACCUCUGAGCCAGAAUUAUGGGUGGGAGUUUGUAGUCAGCCAGCCUAGCAAGGAUGCUGGGUGAGGCCAGGCCCAAGUGGCUUUUGGACUUGGAACUGGGAUUGGGCCCUGGUAGAACAGAGCAUGCAAACUCCUUUUAGAAGAUUUUUCAUCACUGAAUUUGUAUCCUCAGUACGUAGCACAGUGCCUGGCAUAUAAUGUAUCUUCAAAGAGAGUAUCUGCUCCUUUCCAUCCCUACCCCAAAGACACACUUAAACUCAAUUCCCAUCAUCUAAUAGAAGAGCAAAGCUACCAGGUUCCUCUUUUGGCUAUGAUUCUACUUUUUCGGAGAGAAGGAGUGAGGCACAGGAAUACAACUCGGAGUCCUUUCUUCAUUGACUUGAGGUGGGAGUGCUCCAGAAAGAAUACAUUCUGUUUCUGGGCAUGAAAACAUGAAGUCUAACCCUUCCCAACUACCUAAUUGCUCAUCUCACUGAUGUAAUGCUUUUACUCUUUAGGGCUUCUGGAGACUAAGUAGUAGAUGCAAUAUGCAGAAUAAACAUACUUAAAGUGCAUCUUAUUUGCA